UGGGGAAUUUUGGACAAUGGGCGAAAGCCUGAUCCAGCAAUGCCGCGUGUGUGAAGAAGGCCUUCGGGUUGUAAAGCACUUUUGUCCGGAAAGAAAUCCUUGGCUCUAAUACAGUCGGGGGAUGACGGUACCGGAAGAAUAAGCACCGGCUAACUACGUGCCAGCAGCCGCGGUAAUACGUAGGGUGCAAGCGUUAAUCGGAAUUACUGGGCGUAAAGCGUGCGCAGGCGGUUUGCUAAGACCGAUGUGAAAUCCCCGGGCUCAACCUGGGAACUGCAUUGGUGACUGGCAGGCUAGAGUAUGGCAGAGGGGGGUAGAAUUCCACGUGUAGCAGUGAAAUGCGUAGAGAUGUGGAGGAAUACCGAUGGCGAAGGCAGCCCCCUGGGCCAAUACUGACGCUCAUGCACGAAAGCGUUGGGAGCAAACAGGAUUAGAUACCCUGGUAGUCCACGCCCUAAACGAUGUCAACUAGUUGUUGGGGAUUCAUUUCCUUAGUAACGUAGCUAACGCGUGAAGUUGACCGCCUGGGGAGUACGGUCGCAAGAUUAAAACUCAAAGGAAUUGACGGGGU
rnacentral:rRNA from 1 species